CCUACGGGUGGCAGCAGUGGGGAAUAUUGGACAAUGGGCGAAAGCCUGAUCCAGCCAUGCCGCGUGUGUGAAGAAGGCCUUCGGGUUGUAAAGCACUUUCAGUGGGGAAGAAAGCCUUGGGGCUAAUACCCUCGAGGAAGGACAUCACCCACAGAAGAAGCACCGGCUAACUCCGUGCCAGCAGCCGCGGUAAUACGGAGGGUGCGAGCGUUAAUCGGAAUUACUGGGCGUAAAGCGCGCGUAGGCGGUCUGAUAAGCCGGUUGUGAAAGCCCCGGGCUCAACCUGGGAACGGCAUCCGGAACUGUCAGGCUAGAGUGCAGGAGAGGAAGGUAGAAUUCCCGGUGUAGCGGUGAAAUGCGUAGAGAUCGGGAGGAAUACCAGUGGCGAAGGCGGCCUUCUGGACUGACACUGACGCUGAGGUGCGAAAGCGUGGGUAGCAAACAGGAUUAGAUACCCGAGUGUC
rnacentral:rRNA from 1 species